CUUGCUGGGCGGAUUAGUGGCGAACGGGUGAGUAACACGUGGGUGAUCUGCCCUGCACUUCGGGAUAAGCCUGGGAAACUGGGUCUAAUACCGGAUAUGACCAUGGGAUGCAUGUCCUGUGGUGGAAAGGUUUACUGGUGCAGGAUGAGCCCGCGGCCUAUCAGCUUGUUGGUGGGGUAAUGGCCUACCAAGGCGACGACGGGUAGCCGGCCUGAGAGGGCGACCGGCCACACUGGGACUGAGACACGGCCCAGACUCCUACGGGAGGCAGCAGUGGGGAAUAUUGCACAAUGGGCGAAAGCCUGAUGCAGCGACGCCGCGUGAGGGAUGACGGCCUUCGGGUUGUAAACCUCUUUCAGCAGGGACGAAGCGCAAGUGACUGUACCUGCAGAAGAAGCACCGGCUAACUACGUGCCAGCAGCCGCGGUAAUACGUAGGGUGCGAGCGUUGUCCGGAAUUACUGGGCGUAAAGAGUUCGUAGGCGGUUUGUCGCGUCGUGUGUGAAAUCCCGCAGCUCAACUGCGGGCUUGCAGGCGAUACGGGCAGACUUGAGUACUGCAGGGGAGACUGGAAUUCCUGGUGUAGCGGUGAAAUGCGCAGAUAUCAGGAGGAACACCGGUGGCGAAGGCGGGUCUCUGGGCAGUAACUGA
rnacentral:rRNA from 1 species